UACGUAGGGGGCGAGCGUUGUCCGGAUUUAUUGGGCGUAAAGAGCGUGUAGGCGGUUCGGUAAGUCUGUCGUGAAAUCCUGAGGCUCAGCCUCGGGCGUGCGAUGGAUACUGCCGGGCUAGAGGGUGGUAGAGGCGAGUGGAAUUCCCGGUGUAGCGGUGAAAUGCGCAGAUAUCGGGAGGAACACCAGUAGCGAAGGCGGCUCGCUGGGCCACACCUGACGCUGAGACGCGAAAGCUAGGGGAGCGAACAGG
rnacentral:rRNA from 1 species